rnacentral:piRNA from 4 species
GGUCUAGUGGUUAGGAUUCGGCG